AACGUCUAGGUUUCCAUCCGUGGAUGUCAGUAGUGUGAAGCAAGUCCUAGCAUACAAGUGUAAAGAGAACUCUACCGCUCUUAAGAUGAAAUCAAUCCGGUAUAUCUGCGAGAGACAGGACACAGAUUCUUCACCUCGAGGAGAAACUGAGGAUAAGUGAGAGGGGGCAUGGGGUGCGUGUAGGGUGCAUUCUACCACCUUCAUGCUACGUCGCGUUCUCCCGCAUCCUCAGCAUCACUACCGCCAUAGGUGCUUAGUUCCUGGGGUGUUCCAUUAUCAUUACUCCAAUAACCAUCAUCGUCGGGGUCAUUACCACCCGGAGAAGCUGUUUGUUGUACGGACAAGAACACUAAAAACCUUCACAGCAAAAUCUUAUUUGAAAGUUGACUAAAAAAAUUAUUUAAAAAAAUCAACGGUUACUUUCAACAACCUAAUUUAAAUUGAAUGAGAAUGAACGAACGAAGGUAGAACGAAAUUUUUUUCCUUUCUCACAUAUGAAAUUGAUUAUUUUGCAAAAUAUUGACUACUCCCAUUGAGUAGACCAGAAGUUACUGAAAGCUAGAUCUCAGUAUGAUGUUUCAAGGUCCAGUAGAAAUAUCGAAAAAACACUGUUCAGAUGAUUUAGAGGAAGAGGAAAUCAACGGACUGGAUAAAACUGAAGGAUUAUAACUUCUUGCUUUAUAACCUUAGAAAAGAGCACCUCAUCUUCGGGUAAAGAAAGUAAAUCAAUAAAACUGAUCUUCUAUGAAAACUUGAUAUAAUCGGACCACAGCAAAACUCCAAUAAAUAGCCAAUUCAGGCUAUUUUGUGUUCAACUGCAAAAAAGUUUAAAUAGUGAGAGAAAAAUUGUAUCUCAGAAGAUUUCCUUCAUUGAAAGUUGUAAUUAAUUUUAAUCAUUUAGUAGAAUGAAUCAAGGCCGACUAAAUGACAUGAGUAAAUCGGAACCGUUGGAAUAACUUAUUUUAUGAUACCAAACUGAAUGUGGAAAUGGGACAUUAACGAUAGAUGAAGCACACACGUACUCUCCCGGAGAUUCAAGACAAUUUUGAAAGCAUUGAAAUCUACAUGCGUAAGAGUAAUGAUAACCGAAGAAAAACUCGAAAGCCCAGUGAGGGAAACGUUCGAACGAGUGAUAUUUGUCAGCCUCGUUACUGAUAUAUCCAAAAUAUGGUUUUAUAAUUUACUUCUAUCAAAUCUGCUAUUAAUUUUUCAUUUCGAUUGCCUCAAAGAGUUACGUGUAAGGUCAAAUCAGAUUGUUUUUGGGAAAAAAUUUUCGACCCCGAUAAUUAUGCGCAUAACAGCCCUGGAAAAAAAAAUCUAGGAAAAAACAAAUCCAACAAAAAAUUAAAUCACAUGGAUUUUACUACAUGGGCUUUUCAUUUUUUUUUUUUUUUCGGUGACGAAAUGGGUGAAACUUUAAAGAUGUAACUUCGAAUGUCUGGGGAUCGAGUGGUCUUUGUUUCCCAGCAUGGGGAGUCAGUCACUCUUCCUUUAUUUGUUUUUGGCAUGUUUCAUCUUCCGGCAGUAUUGUGAUAAUUAGACACACGUGCACGGAAUAAUUCAUUCCGAUCAAAUAGUUAUAUAUUACAAAUUGAGACAAAAUAAUAGCUUUCGUCAUUAUGUUUACAAAAGUAUUUUCAGACGAAUGUGAAGUUUCCGAAAAAUAUUAUAAUCACAUUCGUCACAAAAUCCUUUGUGGAUCAUGUGAUGUAAACUAUUCUACAUUAGGGUCCCGAAAACUGCGAUUAGAAUGGAAGAAAUAAGAUGCCCAGUGAAGCGAGAUUAGAAUCGCGGUUUAUCGGGCCUAGUAACAUGAAAGAGUGUUUCGAUGAAUGCAAAUUUGCUAUCCGAAUAAAAGCCGAUGAUUAUAACCACAUUCGUUGAAGAAUCAACGUUUUGCCUCAUACUAUACAGUAUUUUAUAUUCCUCAGGGCAAAAACCGCCUUACGAGGUGAAAACACGGAUGUUCAUGGCUGAGGAAUAUGAAAAAGUAGAUGUCCAAUCUAGGGAAGUAAAAUAAAAGAGUCGUGGCCAUGUGAAAAUGUUUUGAUUGAAAUGAUUUAUUUGGAUUAUAGUAAACUUUCUUCUUGGUGCAGUUGUUCGAUAGAACAGUGGCUAGCCUUUUGUUUCUAUGUCUGACCAUCAUGGUCCUUUGAUGAUGUUUGGGACUCCUAAAGUUUCAGUUCUAUCGUGUGGGCGUCUACGCAUUUCCAAUUCAUUCAUUUUUUAUCGUGAAACUAGUCUUUUUCCAGAUAAUCUCCCAAUGGACAAGCAUUUCCUGAAUCUAUCUGUUUGUUCAUUCCAAUUCUACCUAAAAAAUUAAUCUCAUUCCCAAAAGUUACAGAAAGUAGUCGUGUGAAAAACCUAAAAAAGUAUGAUAAACUCGGAUACAUUGUAAAGUAUGAGCCCAUGCGUUGAGACUCUAAACAACUCCCUUACUAUCAAAAAAAAAUCGCCGAUUCAAAACGGCCAACUAGAAAAUGGCUCCACCUUCCUUUAAAAAACCCGGGAGUGACUACAAGACCAGAAGAAAAUAACAAACCACAUGUAUGAUAAAUUUCAAAAUUCGAAAAGUUACAGGUGAUUACAUUGAAGAAAAGGUAUGAAGGUAUCGAGUUUAUAUGAUCUUGUCGGCAGCCUCAAGAGUAAAGGGAGAAACGAUUGAGAAGCGAGAGGUUGUGAUAUAUUGUGUUGGCAGCGAAGAAAGGCAGAAAAUACAAGUAAUGACAGUACAAAUCUGUCAUCAUUAAUGAGAAUACAAAAAAAUUGAAAGGCAAAUGAAUGAGAAACCUAGAUAUAAACUAAGGCCAAACCCAAUUGAAUUUGUUCGAUUUAAUUUCUAGUUAUUGGCUGUGAGUAACGACCGCCGGUUUUUUAGUAAAAGAAAUAUGAUGGAUAAGGGAACGACUACACAAUGAACGAUUAAGAGAAAAUGUAAAGAAAAUAUAUAUAGAUAUAGAUUAGAAGAAAAAAAGAGGACAGGUACUGAAUGCUUUACAAAGGUGAUCAGAAAUAUAUACAUUAAUAUAACGAUAAUGACGUAGCACUCGGGGUAUCAACCCAUCCGGGAUACAAGGGUAGACUUGCUAUAGAGUUAUCUCAAAUAUUCAAGAAAACAAAUGUAAUAAAAAAAAUCAUACAUAGAUACAUAGAUAACAUGUAUAUAUCUAUGUAUACGUCAUUAUUGAAAAAAUUGCAGUUCUGUUCGAAGUCAACGAUAUAUUGAGUAUUGAUGAAAUUAAUCGAUAGAGGGAAAUUAUUUAAAAAAUGGAAAAAAAUGAAAAAAAAACGUUCAAAUGAAUAUAUUUAGAUGAGGAAAAAACCUUAUAUGUAUAUUAUUUGUUGGGAGAUCAUAUUAUUAUAUUACGUCGGAUAAUAUUUAAUAUAUCUAGAAUAUUUAUUUGUUGAUUUUGUGGUGAUAUAGAGAGGUAUAAUAUCAUAAGGAAUUAAACAGAAAAACGAUUAUGUAGGAAAGAAACCAUUUUUUCUUUCGUCUGUGGCUUAAACGGUCGAGGUGUCGUUGAAAAAUUAAUCAAUAGAAAAGUCUCAACGAUCAAAGAUAAUAAAUAUAGGUUGUUUUUCGUUUUGUAAAUGCACUAUUUUCAGCGCUCUAAAUAGUGGUAUUGGAAGGCCUCGGUAAUGAUAUUAAAAAUCUCACGAAUUAUUCACCUAGUAUAAUUAAUAAUUAUGGUAAGAGUAUAAUAAAUUGAUAGAAGUGGCGGAAGCA